AGAGUUUGAUUCUGGCUCAGAACGAACGCUGGCAGCGUGGAUUAGGCAUGCAAGUCGAACGUGAAGCCCGGGAUUCAAUUCUUCGGAAAAGUUUCCCGGGUGGAAAGUGGCGAAAGGGUGAGUAACGCGUGGGUAACCUACCCUGAAGUUGGGGACAACUCUUCGAAAGAGGAGCUAAUACCGAAUGUGGUCCCCCCCCGCAUGUGGGGGUGACUAAAGGUGGAAUCCUUCGGGAUCUGCCGCUUCUGGAGGGGCCCGCGUGACAUCAGCUUGUUGGUGAGGUAAUGGCUCACCAAGGCUUACGUCUAGCUGGUCUGAGAGGAUGAUCAGCCACACUGGGACUGAGACACUGCCCAGACUCCUACGGGAGGCUGCAGUCGAGAAUCAUUCACAAUGCGCGAAAGCGUGAUGAUGCGACGCUGCGUGGAGGAUGAAGGCCCUAGGGUUGUAAACUCCUGUCAUGAGGGAAAAACCGCACGGAUGUAAAUAGCGUCUGUGUUUGAUGGUACCUCAAGAGGAAGCCACGGCUAACUCUGUGCCAGCAGCCGCGGUGAUACAGAGGUGGCGAGCGUUGUUCGGAUUUACUGGGCGUAAAGCGUACGUAGGUGGUAUCGUGUGUCGGGUGUGAAAGCCCACGGCCCAACCGUGGAAUUGCACUCGAAACUGCGGAACUAGAGUACAGGAGGGGAGAGCGGAAUUCAGGGUGUAGCGGUGAAAUGCGUUGAUAUCCUGAAGAACACCGGUGGCGAAGGCGGCUCUCUGGAAUGUUACUGACACUGAGGUACGAAAGCGUGGGGAGCGAACAGGAUUAGAUACCCUGGUAGUCCACGCCGUAAACGUUGUGCACUUGGUGUGGGCGGUAUUGACCCCGUCCGUGCCGGAGCUAACGCGUUAAGUGCACCGCCUGGGGAGUACGGCCGCAAGGCUAAAACUCAAAGAAAUUGACGGGGGCCCGCACAAGCGGAGGAGCAUGUGGCUCAAUUCGAUGCAACGCGAAGAACCUUACCUGGGUUUGACAUGGUACUGCACACCCCGUGAAAGCGGGGUUCCUUCGAGCGUGUACCACAGGUGCUGCAUGGCUGUCGUCAGUUCGUGCCGUGAGGUGUUGGGUUAAGUCCCGCAACGAACGCAACCCUUGUGUUUAGUUGCCACCGGUGGUGAUGUGCCACCGAGCACUCUAAACAGACUGCCUGUACAAGCAGGAGGAAGGUGGGGAUGACGUCAAGUCAGUAUGGCCCUUAUGCCCAGGGCUGCACACGUGCUACAAUGGCCGGUACAAUGGGAAGCAAUACCGCGAGGUGGAGCAAAUCCUCAACGCCGGCCCCAGUUCGGAUUGGAGUCUGCAACUCGACUCCAUGAAGUCGGAUUCGCUAGUAAUGCCGUAUCAGCUACGACGGCGUGAAUACGUUCCCGGGCCUUGUACACACCGCCCGUCACAUCAUGAAAGCCGUCUGCACCCGAAGUCGCCGAGCUAACCCGCAAGGGGGGCAGGUGCCGAAGGUGUGGGUGUGAUUGGGAUGAAGUCGUAACAAGGUA
rnacentral:rRNA from 1 species